rnacentral:misc_RNA from 1 species
UGAACAUCAAGAAGCAGACUCGUUCUGAGACCGCAAGAUCGAAUCUCCACCAAUCUACACACUCAUGGCUCGAUUUGCAUCACCAAUCGCACUCCUAAGCAACAAAAAUAAACACAAAUUCAAAGAAAAUAUACAUCGCUCUCCUAGGCCGAGUGAUAUAUGCCAAGUAAUAUAUGCAACUGAUAUAUGCCAAAUUCAAUCUAGCCAUGUCGACGGAAUAGAGUUGAUCUUGAGGCUGUGAUUUGAGAUGAAGGUGGCAGGUAAUAUAUGCAAUAUGGGGUUCUGUAAUUCCAUCAGUAGAGCCUGUAGAGACUGCCAUGAGCAAAUUUGUGAUGUGUGCUAAAUUCUUUUUAGAAUUAGAAUCAGAUGAGAAAUCUG